GACGAACGCUGGCGGCGUGCUUAACACAUGCAAGUCGAACGGAAAGGCCCUGCUUUUGUGGGGUGCUCGAGUGGCGAACGGGUGAGUAACACGUGAGUAACCUGCCCUUGACUUUGGGAUAACUUCAGGAAACUGGGGCUAAUACCGGAUAGGAGCUCCUGCUCCAGGGUGGGGGUUGGAAAGUCUCGGCGGUUGGGGAUGGACGCGCGGCUUAUCAGCUUGUUGGUGGGGUAGUGGCUUACCAAGGCUUUGACGGGUAGGCGGCAUGGGAGGGGGACCGGCCACAUGGGGACUGAGAGACGGAGCAGUCUCCUACGGGAGGCAGCAGUGGGGAAUAUGGCACAAUGGGCCGGAGUGUGAUGAGGAAGCGCCGCGUGCGGAAUGACGGCCUUCGGGGUGUAAACCGCUUUCGCCUGUGACGAAGCGUGAGUGACGGUAAUGGGUAAAGAAGCACCGGCUAACUACGUG
rnacentral:rRNA from 1 species